UCCAGUUGAUCCUGCUGGCGGCUGCGGCUCUCUGAUUUGCACUUAGGCAUGCAAGUCUGUUGAAAGACGGCGAACUGCUCAGUAACACGUAGCUAAUCUACCCUAUGGUCGGGAAUAUCCUCGGGAAACUGAGGGUAAAUCCUGAUAGGAGAUUUACCCUGGAAAGAUUUAUCUCUUAAAUUCGUGCCAUAGGAUGAGGCUGCGGCGGAUUAGGUUGUUGGCGGGGUAAUAGCCCACCAAGCCAGUGAUCCGUAGGGGCUCUUAGCGGAGAAGCCCCGAGAGGGAAUCUGAGACACUAUUCCCAGCCCUACGGGGUGCAGCAGCUAGGAAUCUUUUACAAUGCACGCAAGUGUGAUAAAUUGAGUUGGAGUGCCUUCCAUUGGAAGGCUUUUGCCAAAUGUAAAUAGUUUGGCGAAUAAGGACUGGGUAAGACUAGUGCCAGCCGCCGCGGUAAUACUAGCGGUCCAAGUCGCAGCCAUUUUUAUUGGGUCUAAAACAUCCGUAGCUUGUUUAGCAAGUUCUCUGUGAAAUCUUGUCUCUCAAAGACAGGGCGUGCAGAGAAUACUAUUAAACUAGAGACUGGAAGACGUAACGAGUACGUUUGGAGUAGCGGUUAAAUGUGUUAAUCCCAAACGGACUAACAAUAGUGAAGGCACGUUACGAGGACAGUUCUGACAGUAAGGGAUGAAGGCUAGGGGCGCAAAUGGGAUUAGAUACCCCAGUAGUCCUAGCAGUAAACACUGCGCACUAAACAUCAGUACCUCUUCGAGAGGUAUUGGUGCUGAAGGGAAGCCGAAGAGUGCGCUACCUGGGAAGUAUAGCCGCAAGGCCGAAACUUAAAGGAAUUGGCGGGGAGACACUACAACGGGUGACGCGUGCGGUUCAAUUAGAUUAUACACCGUGAAUCUCACCAGGAGCGACAGCAGAAUGAAGGUCAGUCUAAAGGGCUUACCUGACACGCUGAGAGGAGUUGCAUGGCCGACGUAAGCCUGUGUCGUGAGAUGACCUGUUAAAUCAGGUAACAGGCAAGACCCACAUGUAUAUUUACUACGUGUACAAUAUACAGAUCGCCUUGGUAACAAGGAUGAAAGUGUGGGCUACGUCAGGUGAGUACAGCCCGAAUCCCCUGGGCAACACGCGCGCGUCAAGGGCGAAUACAACGAGAUGCCACUCCGAAAGGAGAAGCUAAUCUCUUAAAGUUCGUCUCAGUCUAGAUCGAGGUUUGUAACUCAGCCUCGUGACACUGGAAUCCGUAGUAAUCGUUUGUCACCAGCGAACGGUGAAUAUGUCACUGUUUCUUGCACACACUGCCCGUCAAACCAACCAAGUUUAGUUAUGGUGAAAUCCUUCGGGAGAGAACCUUGGCUAGACAAGGUAGGUU
rnacentral:rRNA from 1 species